rnacentral:lncRNA from 1 species
CAAUUUUUUGCUAAUCUUUGCUUCUUUGUAUUUGCUAGCAGCAAAUAUAUAUUUUUAAAAGGGUUCUAAUUUGACAAGAGGUGAGAAUUCACAAUUUCUUAAAAAUAUAAUGGAUUUUAAUGCCUGUCCAUGGAAAAUAUGACAGGAAAACAAUUCAAUUGCACCUCCAUCCCAGAUGAAAGCUGGGGGAGAUGAAAAAAUGUCAUGCACAUUAUUAAACAGAUUUCAUCACUGCAGAUUUAAUGAAAGAUGCACUACACUGAACCCUGGCAUUUCAUUACUUAAGAAAAAAAUAAAAAAAUAAAAAAAUCUUCCAUUAGGGAAAUCAACAGGAGUGAGACAACCAAUAAUGCUGCAGCUUUAAAAAGUCUGGAGGAGUAAAAUCAUUUUUUUUCACUUAGUUAUAUGUGCACAAUAAUGGCUUUUACCAAUGUUUUAUUAAUCUAUGUUUGAAAAGAAUUCAUUUACCAAAGUGAUAAGGACAUUGAUUGUUUUCUGUCAAGAGUAAAACCGUACAAAAAUGAGAGAGAAAUGCAUAGAUGAAAAAUGGAAAAGACACCUUGGCUAGUACUCAUAGAAUGUAUUGCUAAACAAAAUAUCAUUUUGUUGGCCAUGAAUCAACUUUCUUGAACAGAAAACUCAGUUAAGGAUAUCUAUGAAAGAAGAACUGGAUUUGCUUUUGUUAUGCAUCUCUUUGUUCUUUUUUCCUGAGAUUGUAGUAGAUGUGAACUCUUGCCUGCCCUGCAGUCUUGGCUCUCCAAAUGAAGGGACUGAAGAAUCAUUUGAAAAAAUAUAUACUACUAAUUUGGACUUUGCAGCUGUGAUCAAGAAAUAAACCUGAAUCAAGAAUUAGAUGAAUCUCUGGAAAGUCUAAUGAGAUCUUAGUACAUAUGAGGAAAAUUUUCUGUAUAAAGUGUAGCAUUGAUGCCAUAUGACAAUGAUAAAGUUGAUAUGUCUGAAUAAGUAAAUGCAACUAAGUAAAAUCUAAUUACAAGGUAUUCUGUGUGUUUUCAAUGUGUGUUUUCCGGUACUUUACUGGAAUGCAAAGCUCUAAACCAUAAAAAGUGAAGGAAUCAGAGUCUCAGUAUUAGUAGUAAAAAAUAGAAAAUUGUAACUAUGUAUAUUUCAUUUAAAAGACAACCUACACUUCCUGAAAAGUUCAUUUGGGAUCACAGCAUUAUCUGGGCAAAUUAAAUCAGUCUUGGCAGUUAAUAUAGCAAGAGUAACCAACAUUAUCAGUUCAAUUUUAAUUGAAUUUUUCUGGAAUUUCUAUGUGGAAAUAAAAUCUUUACGGGGGGGGAAACA